CGCAUCUGUGCAUGCAGCAUAUCAAUAAGCGGAGGAAAAGAAACUAACAAGGAUUCCCCUAGUAACGGCGAGUGAAGCGGGAAGAGCUCAAAUUUGAAAUCUUAAAGGGUUUCCCUUUACGAAUUGUAGUUUAAAGAAGUGUUUUCUGUUGAGGUUUUGGUAAAAGCUCUUUGGAAUAGGACAUCAUAGAGGGUGAGAAUCCCGUAUUUGACCUUUACUUUCAACUUUGUGAUACACUUUCAAAGAGUCGGAUUGUUUGGGAAUGCAGUCCAAAAUGGGUGGUAAAUUUCAUCUAAAGCUAAAUAUUGGCGAGAGACCGAUAGCGAACAAGUACCGUGAGGGAAAGAUGAAAAGAACUUUGAAAAGAGAGUUAAACAGUACGUGAAAUUGUCAAAAGGGAAGCGUUUGACACCAGUGUUGUUUUUCUGAAAAUCAAUUAAAGAACUGUUUAUGCUAAGCUGUUUAGACUUUAUCAGCUAACUGUUUAGUUUUGAGCUUUUCUUUAAUGCACUUUUCAGUUAACAAGUCAACAUCAAUUUCUUUUGCUGUAAAAAAGCUUGAGGAAGGUGGCUUGAGAUUCGUCUUAAGUGUUUAUAGCCUCUUGCCUAUGCAGUCGGAGAGAUUGAGGUCUGCAGCGUAGAUCCUUCGGGGCUAAAUGCAUUUGUGCUAAGUUAUAGCAUUUUAUAGACAACUUGUUGACUAUGAUUUGUCUUGUAGCUUACUCGCUUAUGUUAUUUUACCUACGCUUAGGAUGUUGAGUCAUCACACAUCUCU
rnacentral:rRNA from 1 species